rnacentral:rRNA from 1 species
GCGCGCGCAGGCGGUUUGUUAAGUUAGAUGUGAAAGCCCCGGGCUCAACCUGGGAACUGCAUUUAAAACUGGUCACUAGAGUGUGAUUGAGGGAGGUGGAAUUUCACGUGUAGCGGUGAAAUGCGUAGAUAUCUGAAAGGAACACCGAUGGCGAAGGCAGCCUCCUGGAUCAAUACUGACGCUGAUGUGCGAAAGCGUGGGGAGCGAACAGGAUUAGAUACCCUGGUAGUCCACGCCGUAAACGAUGACUACUAGCUGUUGGGAAAUUAUGUCUUUCAGUGGCGCAGCUAACGUUUUAAGUUGACCGCCUGGGGAGUACGGCCGCAAGGUUAAACUCAA